rnacentral:rRNA from 1 species
GUUUGAGAGAAGGGAUGACACAGUAGGAUAAGCUAAGCACACUGUUGGUUAUGUGUGCCCAAGCAUUGAGGCAGUCAAAGUAGGCAAAUCCGCUUUGAUAAUGCUGGGAUGUGAUGGGGAGCGAAAUGUAGUAGCGAAGUAGCUGAUUUCACACUGUCAAGAAAAGUCUCUAUCGAGGUUAAAGGUACCCGUACCGCAAACCGACACAGGUG